rnacentral:rRNA from 1 species
GCGAGUAAAGUGGCGGACGGGUGAGUAACGCGUGGGAAUCUGCCUAGUAGUGGGGGACAACAAUCGGAAACGGUUGCUAAUACCGCAUACGCCCUACGGGGGAAAGGCUUCGGCCGCUAUUAGAUGAGCCCGCGUAAGAUUAGCUUGUUGGUAGGGUAAUGGCCUACCAAGGCAACGACCUUUAGCUGGUCUGAGAGGACGAUCAGCCACACUGGGACUGAGACACGGCCCAG